AUUGAACGCUGGCGGCAGGCCUAACACAUGCAAGUCGAGCGGAGCGGCGGACGGGUGAGUAAUGCCAAGGAAUCUGCCUGGUAGUGGGGGAUAACGUUCGGAAACGGGCGCUAAUACCGCAUACUAUUAGAUGAGCCUAGGUCGGAUUAGCUAGUUGGUGGGGUAAAGGUAAACCAAGGCGACGAUCCUGAGCUGGUCUGAGAGGAUGAUCAGCCACACUGGAACUGAGACACGGUCCAGACUCCUACGGGAGGCAGCAGUGGGGAAUAUUGGACAAUGGGCGAAAGCCUGAUCCAGCCAUGCCGCGUGUGUGAAGAAGGUCUUCGGAUUGUAAAGCACUUUAAGUUGGGAGGCGUUACCAGCAGAAUAAGCACCGGCUAACUUCGUGCCAGCAGCCGCGGUAAUAC
rnacentral:rRNA from 1 species